rnacentral:rRNA from 2 species
UACAGAGGUCUCAACCGUUGUUCGGAUUCAUUGGGCGUAAAGGGUGCGUAGGCGGUCGCGCAAGUCGGAUGUGAAAUCUUGGGGCUCAACCCCGAAACUGCAUUCGAUACUGCGUGGCUCGAGUACUGGAGAGGAGACUGGAAUUUACGGUGUAGCAGUGAAAUGCGUAGAUAUCGUAAGGAAGACCAGUGGCGAAGGCGAGUCUCUGGACAGUUACUGACGCUGAGGCACGAAGGCCAGGGGAGCAAACGGG